AUUGAACGCUGGCGGCAUGCCUUACACAUGCAAGUCGAACGGCAGCGGGCCCUUCGGGGUGCCGGCGAGUGGCGAACGGGUGAGUAAUGCAUCGGAACGUACCCGGGAGAGGGGGAUAACCGGCCGAAAGGCUGGCUAAUACCGCAUGAACUCGGAAGAGCAAAGCGGGGGACCUUCGGGCCUCGCGCUCUCGGAGCGGCCGAUGUCCGAUUAGGCUAGUUGGUGGGGUAAAGGCCCACCAAGGCGAUGAUCGGUAGCGGGUCUGAGAGGACGAUCCGCCACACUGGGACUGAGACACGGCCCAGACUCCUACGGGAGGCAGCAGUGGGGAAUCUUGGACAAUGGGCGCAAGCCUGAUCCAGCAAUGCCGCGUGGGUGAAGAAGGCCUUCGGGUUGUAAAGCCCUUUCGGCGGGGAAGAAAUCGGUCAGGCGAAUAGUCUGGCCGGAUGACGGUACCCGCAGAAGAAGCACCGGCUAACUACGUG
rnacentral:rRNA from 1 species